AACAGGUCAACUUUAUACUGUAAGCUUCAUUCCAUUUAUAACAGAGUUUUCAUAUGUGAGGGAAUCUUGCUUAUGCUGGAAGUGAAGGCAGUGCGUAUGACCGCUUGAUACAAGAGACACAUUCUAUUUUUAAAGGUCAACAUACUGUAAGCUUCAUUCACUUUAAAGCAGAGGUUUCAUAUGUGAGGUAAUCUUGCUUAUGCUGGGAGUGAAGAGUGUGUAUGACCACUUGAUAUGAAAGACACAUCCUGUUUUUAAAGGUGGAUCAUGAGUGAAGCUCUGCAGGUCUGCCAUUGGCUUGAUAACAGUGGUUAUGUGAAUUGAGUGAAUUCAAUUUAUAAAUAAAUCUUUCACCAAGCAUUCACCUAUUUACGGACAAAACAGAUCCAAAUCUUGUUCAGCUUGAUGCUCAACCUUGUAUGAUGAUGACCACAGCCAGGUGAUGGAGAUCUGUUUUAAUCACAGCCUGCAUCUCAAGAUCAGCAUGACAACAGCAGAUCA